GCUUGUCUCAAAGAUUAAGCCAUGCAUGUUCAAGUAUAGCAAGUGUACAGUGAAACUGCGAAUGGCUCAUUAAAUCAGUUAUCAAAUACGUGAUGGUCGCCUACUACAUGGAUAACCGUAGUAAUUCUAGAGCUAAUACAUGCACAAAGGCCCACUCACGUGGGUUGUGAUUAUUAGAUUCAAACCGGCCUCGUUCUGGUGAUUCAUAAUAAUUGGUCGAACCGCAUGCCCUUGUGGUGGCGGUGAUUCAUCCUUAUUUCUGCCCUAUCAACUUUCGAUGGUAAGGUAUUGGCUUACCAUGGUUACAACGGGUAACGGGGAAUUAGGGUUCGAUUCCGGAGAGGGGGCCUGAGAAAUGGCCACCACUUCCAAGGAAGGCAGCAGG
rnacentral:rRNA from 1 species